rnacentral:rRNA from 1 species
UACGUAGGGUGCAAGCGUUGUCCGGAGUUAUUGGGCGUAAAGAGCUCGUAGGCGGUUUGUCGCGUCGGCUGUGAAAACCUGGGGCUCAACCCCGGGCCUGCAGCCGAUACGGGCAGACUAGAGUGCGGUAGGGGAGACUGGAAUUCCUGGUGUAGCGGUGAAAUGCGCAGAUAUCAGGAGGAACACCGGUGGCGAAGGCGGUUCUCUGGGAAUGUCCUGACGCUGAGGAGCGAAAGUGUGGGGAGCGAACAGG